rnacentral:pre_miRNA from 1 species
CAUUCAUGAUUAUGAUAACAAUUGCAGUAACACUGAUUGACUGAAUCAUCAUCAUAAUGAUGAUGAUUCAGUCAAUCAGUGUUACUGUAAUUGUUACCGUCACAA